AGAACGAACGCUGGCGGCAGGCCUAAUACAUGCAAGUCGAACGCACUCUUCGGAGUGAGUGGCAGACGGGUGAGUAACGCGUGGGAACCUUCCCAAUGGUACGGAAUAACUCCGGGAAACCGGUGCUAAUACCGUAUAAGCCCCUCGGGGGAAAGAUUUAUCGCCAUUGGAUGGGCCCGCGUCGGAUUAGCUAGUUGGUAAGGUAAUGGCUUACCAAGGCUACGAUCCGUAGCUGGUCUGAGAGGAUGAUCAGCCACACUGGGACUGAGACACGGCCCAGACUCCGUACGGGAGCAGCAGUAGAGAAUCUUAGGACAAUGGGACGAAAGCCUGAUCCGAGCCAUCGCCGCGUGAGUAGGAAAGGAAGGCCGUUUAAGGGGUUCGUAAAGGUCC
rnacentral:rRNA from 1 species